rnacentral:rRNA from 1 species
CUUGUACAGGUGCUGCAUGGCUGUCGUCAGCUCGUGUCGUGAGAUGUUCGGUUAAGUCCGCUAACGAGCGCAACCCUCGCUGUGUGUUACAAGUGUCACACGGAACUGCCGGUCAGUAAACCGGAGGAAGGUGGGAUGACGUCAAGUCAGCAUGGCCUUUAUAUCCUGGGCUACACACACGCUACAAUGGGAAGGGACAAUAGGUUGCGAAGCCGCGAGGCGGAGCCAAUCCAGCAAAACUUCCCUCAGUUCAGAUUGCAGGCUGCAACCCGCCUGCAUGAAGUUGGAGUUGCUAGUAAACGCAGGUCAGCCAUACUGCGUUGAAUACGUUCCCGGGGCUU